CAGUUGGUUAGAGCACACGCUUGAUAAGCGUGGGGUCGGAAGUUCAAGUCUUCCCGGGCCCACCAUUCGCAUCUGCGGAUGAGGGUUAGGGAUGAUGGAAUGUGGCUGAUGCGGAACGUUGCCGAACCUGGUUCAUACCAGGCGAUCGAGCUGAUGGGGCUGUAGCUCAGCUGGGAGAGCACCUGCUUUGCAAGCAGGGGGUCAGCGGUUCGAUCCCGCUCAGCUCCACCAAAUCGAUUGGUGUUGAGACUGACGGUGACGGCAUUGUCUUUUGAAGAAAAUAAAAGUUUGCAUCGGCUAAGGCCUGAUGCCUGUUCUGCAUACAUUGUGAAGAGAAGAUUGAUCUGGAGGCUUCCAGGUGUUUUGGACUUAUGUCCGGAACGUCCGAGCCCAGUUCCUGUGAACCCAUGGAUGGCCUAGCCGGCCGGAUGUGGUGGAGGGAUUGGAGGGUGGAAGGAAGCUUGUCGCUCUGGAUCGUUUGUUGUUCGUUGCCUUCGGGCUUCGUCUGAUAAGCGAUCGGAUUACCGUUGCCUGACCGCGCGGUAUCGGAUCCAAUCUCGAGAAGCUGGUCUUAAGACCUGACACAAGCGAGCUGCUCGGCGUAGCUCCAAUAAAGUGCUCAGGUCGAACACGUCGAUGGCAUUGUUGGAUUGACUGGGUUGUAAAAGGUAACCCGGUCUGUUGCCGUUUCCUUCGGGGACGGUAGCGAGAUGAUGAGCAUUGGCAAUGAGAACGAUUAAGUGUCGUAAGGGCAUUUGGUGGAUGCCUUGGCAUGCACAGGCGAUGAAGGACGUGAUACGCUGCGAAAAGCCG
rnacentral:tRNA from 1 species